GUCAGAAUGAGAAGCCUGGCCAAGCUCUUAGAGAUCUAAGAGAAUGGAGAAGAAGGUGGGGUCACCAUGUAUUCACUAUUUGGUGGGCCUGCUCUGGUACCCGUUGAAAUAGAUGUUAUUUGAAAAAUCACUACAACCAUAACGUGAAAGUUAUUUUUCACAGGAGCAUUAAUUCUAUCUUAAGGAGCCAUAACUGGUGUGUGAAUUGCAUAUUUAUUUGUUGUCCGAAGACAAAGCUUCCUGGAUGCAAAAGGGAUAGACCGUCCCCAGAGUUGGCUGAGCGCAGAGAGAAAUCCUUGACAACUGCAGAAAUGCCAACCGGCCUGGCACCAGGCACGAAGGAUGCACGCACGUCUCCUCUUCCCUGGUCCUCCCAGAAGCAAGGUAAGCAUGACAGCAGAGGCAGCGCGUUGUUGCUCCCCUCCCUGAGGACUCGUCGGAGCACACCAGGUACCACCUGAGUGCUUCACGGAUU
rnacentral:lncRNA from 12 species